rnacentral:rRNA from 1 species
UGGGGAAUAUUGCACAAUGGGCGCAAGCCUGAUGCAGCCAUGCCGCGUGUAUGAAGAAGGCCUUCGGGUUGUAAAGUACUUUCAGCGGGGAGGAAGGUGUUGAGGCUAAUAACCUCAGCAAUUGACGUUACCCGCAGAAGAAGCACCGGCUAACUCCGUGCCAGCAGCCGCGGUAAUACGGAGGGUGCAAGCGUUAAUCGGAAUUACUGGGCGUAAAUCGCACGCAGGCGGUCUGUCAAGUCGGAUGUGAAAUCCCCGGGCUCAACCUGGGAACUGCAUUCGAAACUGGCAGGCUAGAGUCUUGUAGAGGGGGGUAGAAUUCCAGGUGUAGCGGUGAAAUGCGUAGAGAUCUGGAGGAAUACCGGUGGCGAAGGCGGCCCCCUGGACAAAGACUGACGCUCAGGUGCGAAAGCGUGGGGAGCAAACA